GCCAGACUCCUACGGGAGGCAGCAGUGGGGGAUAUUGCACAAUGGGGGAAACCCUGAUGCAGCGACGCCGCGUGAGUGAAGAAGUAAUUCGUUACGUAAAGCUCUAUCAGCAGGGAAGAAAAUGACGGUACCUGACUAAGAAGCCCCGGCUAACUACGUGCCAGCAGCCGCGGUAAUACGUAGGGGGCAAGCGUUAUCCGGAAUUACUGGGCGUAAAGAGUUCGUAGGCGGCACGUAAAGUCUGGUGUUAAAGGCAGAGGCUCAACUUCUGUACGGCACUGGAUACUUGCGAGCUAGAAUGCGGUAGAGGUAAAGGGAAUUCCUGGUGUAGCGGUGAAAUGCUUAGAUAUCAGGAGGAACAUCGGUGGCGUAAGCGCUUUACUGGGCCGUAAUUGGCGCUGAGGAACGAAAGCCAGGGUAGCAAAUGGGAUUAGAUACCCGAGUA
rnacentral:rRNA from 1 species